GUGAGGAAGAAAAACGGCCACUGUUCUCAAGGCAAACACUUAGUAACCACAACAAACCCAUCACUCAGGAGCCUGUCUCCAUGGAAACGGGAUGACAACAAGCCAGUGAGCCUUCUCUCAACAUCUGUACAGUCAGGCUAGGGGAAGGUGGAAUCACCUGUUUGCCUUGCCACUCUUACCCAACAAAAUGUGACACACGGAGAUAUGGAAGCUGUCAACUUUUCUCUGUAAAUGUUUCUACCUAGGAAGACAGUAUUUUACCUACCGGGAAGACUUCUGGAGACACACUCCCCUGGAGCAGCAGAAAUGGCAGUGGCAACCACAGACAUACCCUCCAUCACCUUCACCAAGACCUUCCUGGGAAUUCCUGAGCUCUGGAUCCAACUCUGGGCCACAGCAUCCCGCUAAGUUACUAAUGCCACUUUUAAGGAGAAACUGCCGCCUUUCCAGUGACUUUAAGUUCCAGCCCAGGCAUUACAGGAGUGAAGGAUAGCCUUCCACACACGUCUGCAUAUGGACCUCGCCUAUGUGGCAUCAUGCUAUAAAGAGAGAUCUGAAACCACCCAGACACAAGUAGAAGAAAGCUGAAGAGCCCGGCAACAGGCAAGUGUGAGAGUCUCUCAGCUCUCCUAAAUCUUGGUUAAAAUGGAGGAAGCCAAGGACAGGAGGGAACCGCCAAGCCAAUCACAGUGGACUGUGAAGCUGAGCUCUCACCAGUAAGAUAGGAUGCGGUCACCACCUACACUGGAGGAAAAGACGGAAGCCAUUUUGCACCAAGAUUAUUCUUUCCCCAACAAAAAGAAAAGCAAAGAACUGCCCCUGACGCAAAUGGAGGGACAGUCUCAGCUCCCUUGUGGCAUCAUCCACCCACUGAUAGGGACUACCCAGGAUACUCCAAGUGUGGUGUGCACCAUGGGUGGGCGCUGAGACAAGCUACUCCAGCAGGAAGCCAAGGCAUCUGCUACUUUAGCUGGGGAGUACCCCAACUUCUGCAAUUACAGACUCCCUCUCGUGUACUCACAGGACUCCUCUGAGAGCCAGACACGCCUGGGGACAUCCCUAGCAGCCUGGGAGGAAUCCUGGUUGAGACACUUAAAACACACAAAUCUGUCUGCUGUUGAGCGACCAGACAUCAGAUUUCCCACCACUGCGGUGCAAUGUUUCAGACUCAAGUCAUUCCGCCUUGAAAUAAAAGCGGCAUUAUGGUGCUCAGCCCUGUGAGAGGGAGCCCACUGAGGAGUUCUUUAAUGCCAUGAGAUGUCUACCUUUGGGGAACGGAAGCAAACGAAGGUAAAACUGGUAAGCGCAGCACAGAAGCGAGGCGCUGGCUUUUCUCACUUCACUGGAACCAUGCCUACAUUCUGAAACAGACCACCAGUUCCAGACUCUCAAAAGGCAACUGCUGGGAGGGUCUUACGGAUCCCCCCAGGUGACCUUCCUACCUGGGUAUUUAAAGGCACUAAGCCCAUCUGGGAAGAGCUUGCCCGAAGAAGAUGUUGUUGGUGUAGCUCAAGUGUCCCAGGGAUACAAGUAGCCUCCCAUGAAGAAUGGCUACUCCAAGGCAUGGGAAAGGGCACAAACCAUUGCACACUCAGUUCUGCAGAGAGGACAACCUGCACACAGAUCACAAGCUUACUUGUGGUGCAGAACGGUACUUUCCCCACAAGGCUGCUCUCUAUAGCCUGUCCCUCUUGUUAAAUCCUAUUUUUCCAAGAAUACCAAAGCACUUCAUUCAAGGCUUACUUUUAGAUCUUAAAUGCCCCCAAGGCCUGUGUGUUGAAGCUUGCUCUAAGGACAAGGUCAGGUGACUGGAGUUAGGCCCUGGGGUGGGGGGUGGGGCGCUCCCUUUCUUCCCCUCAACCUUGACAGCCAUUAAGUGAAGUGUUGCUCACCACACACUCCUGCUGCUGUAUGCUAACUCGCCACAGACCCUGAGCAAUGCGUCCACAACUGUGACUCAAGACAAAGCUUUCCUUGGGUGUUUGUUGCAGUGACAGAAGGCUGACCAACACCCUCAACUCCAAACUCACACUUGAGCUGAAAAUCAGUCAGCCUUCCUGAGAAUAUUUGACAAACCUCAGAUAGCUCAUGGGGACCAGACUUCCAAAGGAUCCACAAAUCUGCCCCUUGCUGUGCCCAAUGCUGAAGUAACUCAAAUUACAUCCUUCACUUGUCCUCUCCUGUUAACUACAGGGUGGUCACCUGCUCCUCCACGGCUACAUGCUGGGCUGUCCACCCUUCCUACACAGAAAGGCCACGAUGAUAUACAUCUUCAGCCCCAGGACCACGGGCCAUCUUUAUCCUCUGGAUCUCUUCCAGUGUUGCCCAGUUUCCCCAAAUGCCUAGCCUGGAGUCAAACGUGGCCGCCACAGGAGAGAGUCUACUUUCCAAGAGACUCACCACAAAGGGUUUGUCUAUUUUCAAUGGCCCAUCUGCAAAGUAUCUUAGGCCAUGGGGGAAUCCUCACUUAAAAGGAGGUAGAGAACUGGGAAGAAGACCCAAGGGUUUUGUAAAGGCACUUACUGUGCACGGAUGGGGACCUGAGUUCAGAUCCCCAUAACCUAUGUAAAAACCAGAUGUGCAGCGCAGUGUGAGCAUCUGUAAUCAGGCAGUGACAGAAGAACCCCUGGAUGCCUACAGCCCAGCAGACAGACAACAGGGACCUUCUCAAACACCAUGGAAGGUGAGGACCAGCAUCCAGGUUGGCCUCUGACUUACACACACACACAGAAAGAGAGACAGACAGACAGACAGACAGACAGACAGACAGACAGACAGACAGACAGACAGACAAGGAAGUAGAAUAUAAAGUUAUAAGCCUUAUAAGCUAUUAAGGAAUAUUAGCUAAUGUCUACAUGCAGGGUUCUGGGUCUAAGCCUACUGCCUGGAACUUAAGUUAGACACCUCAUGGCUGGUCUUUUUCAAAGGGGCUCAAACACCCAACACUGAAAAUUGGACCCUCCCAUCCUUUCUCCUCCACUCAGCAAGCCCAUGGGUACAGGCUCACAUGCAAACACCUGACCGCCCGAAAGCACCAGGAGUCAAACACUCAGAUCUCCAAAUGCAGUGUCUGGAGGGAUAACCAGCCCUAGGCUCAUCUUUUAAUUGUUUCGUAUGAGAGUAGCACUCGUUGAGGCCACUGGGGAGAAACCAAAGGCAUCCCUGAGGCAUCGAUUCACCGGCUCCCUGGUGGAAUGUGGGGCACACCUGAUGAAUAGUCACCUCACAAAGUGGCCUCUAAUUAGAGCAAAGGUGAGCCAUAUUGUAUCGUCUGCCAUAGCAAAAUGCCACAGACUGACUGGGUGGAACACACAACAAAGAUUUCUCACCCUUCUGGAAGCUGAAGUCCAGCUGGCAGAUCUACUUUGCUGAUAAGAACACUCUCCCUGACACCAAGACAGCUGCCUGCCAUCUUACUGUCCUCACAUGGCCUUUAUCUGUGUAUGUGCUCAAGACCAUACAGGUGAGAGGGAAUCCUCUUCCUUCUUUGUAUAAGGAAACCUGUCUUAGCUUUCUCACCUCUCACAAAGUCACCGAUCCAAUCCACAAACAACCGUUCUUAUAGCCUCAUUUGACCUCACCUCUAAGAGCCCCACAUCAAACGGACAUCAGAACUUAGAGCACCUCCAUAUGAACUUUGGAAAGACACAAUAGUUGGCCCACAGCACCAACACACACACACACUCCGCCAUUAGUGUGGUACUUACUAUGUCACUGUAGUACAAGGAUUGUACUACUAUGCCAUUCUUGUAUGUCUGCAGGCCAGAAGAGGGCACCAGAUCUCAUUACAGAUGGUUGUGAGCCACCAUGUGGUUGCUGGGAAUUGAACUCAGGACCUCUAGAAGAGCAGCCAGUGAUCUUAACCUCUGAGACAUCUCUCCAGCCCUACUAUACCAUUCUUUAAACAACCAUGGGAGAGAAUCAUUAUUCCCACAUCACAGAUGGAAAUGUAAAACAAAGAUCUUGCUCAAGGACAAACAAGUAUCUAAGGAGCCAAAGACUCAGACCAGUGCCUCUCAGAAUGUCCGGCCACCGCAAAACCAUCUGUAAUGUGCUUUAGUCUGUUAGUGGCAGAGCACAACAAAACAUGUCACAAACUGAUCAGCCAAUGAUCAAUGCCAAAGUUACUGAGAAUUUAAGAUUGGAAACAGAUUAAGUAGAGAUGGGCUCUAUGUAACAGAGACGGAGGGCAGGCCUAGGAAAGCAAACAAGAGCCAUACAUACACUGUAACAUGGUGAACUCUGCGGGUAGAGCCAGGCCCCAUCGCCUGCUUCAGUGGCCCCUAUGGAGAUAACGGGUAAGGGGGUGUGUGGUAGGGGAGGGGAGACAAGUUUAGAGGGGUCUGAUGAGGUAGCCAACUCUACCACGCAGGUGUGAACUUAGAGCUGCAGUGUGAGACCUUAGUAAUUCCACCAUGGAAGUCUCACAGGGGCGACCCCGAUUGAGGCACAGUCCAAGGAAAGUCCUUUCCAAUAAUACAAGUUUUUGAAAAAAAAUAAAGAUUUGUCUAUUUAUUUAUUUUAUGCACAUCGGUGGUUUGCCUGUAACUGAGAGUUACAGGCAUUGUGGGUGCUGGGAAUUGAACCUGGUUCCUCUGAAAGAGCAGGCAGUCUCUUAACCAGUGAGCCAUCUCUCCAUACCUCCAAUGAUACAAUUUUAUAGAAUAAGAUUUUUUUUUCCAAUUUGUAAACCUUAGGGAAAAAAUCUGUUCUGGUAUUGCUUUUUUCAAAAAGAGAAAGCUAGAAAUGCAUUCUCUUAAAUGAGGAAAACUGUUACUCUAAGAAAAUGAUAGAGCCAAGAAACCACUAAUAUAUUUUUCAAUCAGGAGACUAUGUUCAGGGAUUUUCUCUAAGCUGCUUUUUUCCCUCCCUCCCUCCCUUUUUUUUUGGGGAGGGGGGAGAGGAAAUCCCAAAACACCAAGCAGACAAUUUGCUUUUUCUUCAAACUGACAAGCAGUAUCAUUUUGUAUUAGGUGGUAGGGAAUUCUUAUUAUUGAAUGUGCCUUUAUUCUAGGGGGGAAAGCCUGGCAAAAAUAAAAUACCAGGUAUUAAAGAAAAUAAAAAAGGUCCAAAGAAGCACCGGAGUAAUUGAAUCAGCAUCUAAGACCAAAUCUACAGAAACCAUUGAGUCCUGGCCUUCAGUGCAUCUUCGAGAGGCGACCCCUGAAGAUGGGAUCCAGCCCAGAGGAGGAAGCAGACCCUCUCACAGGCCAACCCAGAGGAGGAAGCAGGCCCUCCCACAGGCCAACCCAGGUUCCUGGAGUCCAACUUCCCAACAGUCCAUGUAUUCACUAUUCCAGAAAGCUUCCCAAUGGGUGAGCAGAAGUAGCACUGCUUCCAGGAAGUUCGCUCUCCAGCCCCUAAGGUGAACAAUGGAUCCAGCCUGCUGUAUUCCAGGGGACUGGUACGGAGGAAACUGUAUUUACUUAUGCUCAGUCUCUCUGGGCACAUCUCCACGACUGAUUUAAAAACAAAAAACAAAAAACUUAAAAGGGGUCAUGAAUAAAACAAAUAAAUAAA